ACGAACGCUGGCGGCGUGCCUAAUACAUGCAAGUAGAACGCUGAGGAUUGGUGCUUGCACUAAUCCAAAGAGUUGCGAACGGGUGAGUAACGCGUAGGUAACCUACCUCAUAGCGGGGGAUAACUAUUGGAAACGAUAGCUAAUACCGCAUGACACUAGAGUACACAUGUACUUAAGUUAAAAGGAGCAAUUGCUUCACUAUGAGAUGGACCUGCGUUGUAUUAGCUAGUUGGUGAGGUAACGGCUCACCAAGGCGACGAUACAUAGCCGACCUGAGAGGGUGAUCGGCCACACUGGGACUGAGACACGGCCCAGACUCCUACGGGAGGCAGCAGUAGGGAAUCUUCGGCAAUGGACGGAAGUCUGACCGAGCAACGCCGCGUGAGUGAAGAAGGUUUUCGGAUCGUAAAGCUCUGUUGUUAGAGAAGAACGGUAAUGGGAGUGGAAAAUCCAUUACGUGACGGUAACUAACCAGAAAGGGACGGCUAACUACGUGC
rnacentral:rRNA from 1 species